GUAGGUGUCGACCUUGGUCGACACAUCUGUCAGAUAUCGAAAAUCAAAUUUGAAUCAGAUCUGCCGUGUCGACCAAGGUCGACACCCAC
rnacentral:antisense_RNA from 1 species